rnacentral:rRNA from 1 species
AAAUGUUGGGUUAAGUCCCGCAACGAGCGCAACCCUUAUCCUUUGUUGCCAGCGGUUAGGCCGGGAACUCAAAGGAGACUGCCAGUGAUAAACUGGAGGAAGGUGGGGAUGACGUCAAGUCAUCAUGGCCCUUACGACCAGGGCUACACACGUGCUACAAUGGCAUAUACAAAGAGAAGCGACCUCGCGAGAGCAAGCGGACCUCAUAAAGUAUGUCGUAGUCCGGAUUGGAGUCUGCAACUCGACUCCAUGAAGUCGGAAUCGCUAGUAAUCGUAGAUCAGAAUGCUACGGUGAAUACGUUCCCGGCCUUGUACACACCGCCCGUCACACCAUGGGAGUGGGUUGCAAAAGAAGUAGGUAGCUUAACCUUCGGGAGGGCGCUUACCACUUUGUGAU